rnacentral:lncRNA from 1 species
CUCCAGUAAGGGGUUUUAUGUAUGCAGUUAUGAUACAUGCACAGGUCAAGCUUGGUAUAUGAAAAGUUUAAAGUUUUUAUGAAAAUGAAUGAUCAUGUAUGGGAUUUUAUCAGAUGUACAGGAUGUAUGUUAGGCUUGCUACGGGUUCCGGCGACCUUAAGUCGAUCUGAAUCCUAGCGCUGGUAGCGGUCCGGUUUCCGGGUCGUUACUGCCACGUUUUGGGCUUAUGUUUUAAAACUUAUGUGUUUGAUGUAUUAUUUUAGUGUGUGAUUGGGCUUGAGUCCUGUAUGUGGUCCGGCCAGGCCUAAGAAGAGUAUCUUAGAGUUUUAUUUUCUCUCCUUAUUAUAUAAGGAUAAGAAACACUUGUAAGAGGAGCUUUGAAUCUAAAUUUUUAGAAUUCUUUUAAUGUUUUGGCGUGUAUUGCUUUAAGUGGGAUGAGGAUUUGCUUUCAUCAAUUGCACCAAGAAUCUUGGCUAACUUAUCAACUAUUCGUUGUGGCGUUUGUCAGAUUCUCAUCUAAAUCCUUCGAUCAUUGGUGUUUCAGCUUCUCUAAGUGUGGGGUGCCAUAGAAGGUGGGUUUAUCAAAUCCUUCGAUCAUUGGUGUUUCAGCUUCUCUAAGUUUUGGGCUUAUGUUUUAAAACUUAUGUGUUUGAUGUAUUAUUUUAGUGUGUGAUUGGGCUUGAGUCCUGUAUGUGGUCCGGCCAGGCCUAAGAAGAGUAUCUUAGGGUUUUAUUUUCUCUCCUUACUAUAUAAGGAUAAGAAACACUUGUAAGAGGAGCUUUGAAUCUAAAUUUUUAGAAUUCUUUUAAUGUUUUGGCGUGUAUUGCUUUAAGUGGGAUGAGGAUUUGCUUUCAUCAAUUGCACCAAGAAUCUUGGCUAACUUAUCAACUAUUCGUUGUGGCGUUUGUCAGAUUCUCAUCUAAAUCCUUCGAUCAUUGGUGUUUCAGCUUCUCUAAGUGUGGGGUGCCAUAGAAG